UACAGAGGUCUCGAGCGUUGUUCGGAUUUAUUGGGCGUAAAGGGUGCGUAGGCGGUAUGGCAAGUCAAGUGUGAAAUCUCGGAGCUCAACUUCGAAACUGCACUUGAUACUACUAUGCUAGAGGGUUGUAGAGGAGACCGGAAUUCACGGUGUAGCAGUGAAAUGCGUAGAGAUCAUGAGGAAGACCAGUGGCGAAGGCGGGUCUCUGGACAGUUCCUGACACUGAGACACGAAGGCCAGGGGAGCAAACGGG
rnacentral:rRNA from 1 species